GACGUAGGGCGCAAGCGUUUGUCCGGAUUUAUUGGGCGUAAAGAGCUCGUAGGCGGCUUGUCGCGUCUGCCGUGAAAGUCCGGGGCUCAACUCCGGAUCUGCGGUGGGUACGGGCAGACUAGAGUGAUGUAGGGGAGACUGGAAUUCCUGGUGUAGCGGUGAAAUGCGCAGAUAUCAGGAGGAACACCGAUGGCGAAGGCAGGUCUCUGGGCAUUAACUGACGCUGAGGAGCGAAAGCAUGGGGAGCGAACAGG
rnacentral:rRNA from 1 species